GGUUUUUUUUUAGUGACCAAACCCUAAUCUAAUUUACCGACAAAGCAAAGGAAAUUGAGAUGUGGAGAUGCGAAGCUUAGAUUGAGAGUAAGAGACAAACUGAACCUGAAUCACGUUACCAAGUUUCAAUUGUUCACGAGCUCAAGGAGGUUGAACAACAACUCAUUAUCUGGGCCCUUUCAUGCUUCUCUGUCUUAAAUCCCUCACCUCUCUUUCGUGUUAAGAAGAUGGACAAUCCAUGUGAUCUUAAUUUGCUGCUUGUAACCCAAGCUCCAAGGGUAAGAGAUUUAUAUGAUGAUGACUUUGAGUCUGAAGAAGAUGAGGAAUACAUUGUGGAUAUGGAGUUUGAACUAGAUGUAUAUCAAGAUAUUCCUCUUUCUCAUGAUCCACAAUCUACUUAGUAAGGUUUAUGUUAUAAGGUCUAACUCCUAACACAUCUGCCCAAUUCAUGGUGAUUACUUGAUCUGAAGACAAAAGGAUGAAGACUUGCGAUCCUUUUUUGUAUUUUGUAUGUAUUCAAGAUCAAGACUAUCUAUUUUUUGUGUAUCUCAUGAAUUGGAAGUGUAUUUUGAAUUUGAUGUGUAAAGGAGAAAAUUAUGUUAUCUAUAACAAGUUAUAUAAUUAUGUCUAAAACUUUGUAUCA